GGGGCGCCGGGCGGGGGGAGGCGGGGGCGCCGCUCCCCACUCCUAGGCCCCGGCGCGCCCCGUUCCGGCCGCCCGGGCCUAGCGCCCGCGGGGGACUCCGGCCGGCGCAGGUCCCGGCCCCACAGCGCCGCCGUCCCGCCCGGAGGCCGCGGGGACCCGCGGGGGCGCGGGGAGCCCCGGGUGCGGGGCAGGGCGCGGUCGCCACGGGGCCCCGCCGGCCCGAGGCCUAGCCGGCACCCCCGCCCCGCACCCCACCCCGGCCCGCAGGCCGCGCCGCUCGCUCCGCUCCGGCCCCGCAGGACCCGAUCAGAGUGAGAGGCGCUGGCGAUGGCCUCGGAAGCUCGGCGGCGCUGCGGCCGCUCCCCACUGGGCUCCGGCGAGAGCCUGUCCCUGUCAGGCGAGAGGGAUCUCCCUGAAAGCUGAGAUUGCUGAAGGACGGUUGCCAAGGGGUGUCUUUUUGUCUCCUUUCCUCAAAGCCAUGUGCAUCAAACCUCAUGGACUGCCCGGGAAGGCAGCAAAGCUCAGUAGCUAAAUGGAAUCUAAGUUACGGGGAGCUGAGGGAGCUGGCGCAGUGGUGGGAGAGAAAGGUGCUGCCCACUUGCAGCACUUCCCACAGAACUCCUGCCGGAGGAGAGUCAAGGGCAGAGAUACUUUGCUAUUUUUGUGAGAAAGAGGAGAAUAUUCGAAAAUAACCAGAGGAUCAUUUUGUUUGUUCUACAGGUCAUGGUGAGUCUUAUACUUAGUUAUUGUUCUGACACAUGUUGGCUCACCUAAUAGGAAUUGAUUUGUGAUAUGACUGCCUUGAGUCUCUUUCAUUUAAAAUUUAUUACAAUGCAUUAAGAAAUAACUGAUGACUCCACUUCAAAAUGUUUAUUUUUUUUUUUUUAGCUUACAAAUUGAGAAUUUUAAAGUAAGUUCGGAUAAUGCAUGUAUCAUGUUAUUUUCAUGCUGACCCCCAUCUUUAUCAUCUAAGUGUCCC